rnacentral:rRNA from 1 species
GAAUAUUGGACAAUGGGCGCAAGCCUGAUCCAGCCAUGCCGCGUGUGUGAAGAAGGCCUUCGGGUUGUAAAGCACUUUCAGCGAGGAGGAAGGGUGUUGUGUUAAUAGCACAGCAUUUUGACGUUACUCGCAGAAGAAGCACCGGCUGACUCCGUGACAGCAGCCGCGGGAAUACAGAGGGUGCGAGCGUUAAUCGGAAUUACUGGGCGUAAAGCGCACGUAGGUGGCGACGUAAGUCGGGUGUGAAAGCCCCGGGCUCAACCUGGGAAUUGCAUUCGAGACUGUGUUGCUGGAGUACGGAAGAGGAGGGCGGAAUUCCCGGUGUAGCGGUGAAAUGCGUAGAUAUCGGGAGGAACAUCAGUGGCGAAGGCGGCCCUCUGGUCCAGUACUGACACUCAAGUGCGAAAGCGUGGGGAGCAAACAGG